rnacentral:rRNA from 1 species
ACAGCAGUCGCCGCGGUAAUACGGAGGGUGCAAGCGUUAAUCGGAAUUACUGGGCGUAAAGCGCACGCAGGCGGUUUGUUGGGUCAGAUGUGAAAUCCCCGAGCUUAACUUGGGAACUGCAUUUGAAACUGGCAAGCUAGAGUCUUGUAGAGGGGGGUAGGAUUCCAGGUGUAGCGGUGAAAUGCGUAGAGAUCGGGAGGAAUACCGGUGGCGAAGGCGGCCACCUGGACAAAGACUGACGCUCAGGUGCGAAAGCGUGGGGAGCAAACAGGAUUAGAUACCCCUGUAGUCCCUGUCUCUUAUAC